rnacentral:tRNA from 1 species
CAAGGCGGGGCUGAAGGCUACGGCGCCGGGCUCCAGACCCGGAGAUCCCCGGUUCAAAUCCGGGCGCCCCCA